CACGUGCUAAACCUUCAAUCAAUCGCUCACGUCUGCGCCUUCACUAAACCACACACCACACAUCCGGUAACACCGGAGCAGUUGCUCGCCGGAUUCUCGAGAAGUUGCCUGCGGAGGUUGAAUCUAGAUUAUGUUUCUCUCAAGAUCGAUACAUCUUCCAUAUUCUCAGAUCUGAUUCUCUCACAUUUCUCUGUAUGGCCAACGACACCUUCGGAAGUUAAUAAACUGAGAAUGAUUGAAGGAAUACAUAUUAUCAAUUUGAGGAAAUUACAGUCGAUAUAUUUGUGUCACCGUCAACGUGACCACCACCGUCCUCCGCCGCAUAUGCCGUCAAAUCCCCGUCCGCCGUUGCUUGGUAACAACGACGGUUAGGGUUCAAAGACGCAUCCUCAUUAGCAACGAUGUUUAGGGUUAUGACGACCUUAUCUGUAUUCUGAUGUAGCAAAUGGAGGCUAUAAUUUCAUGAUGUAAACAAAAAGUUGAGUGCUGCAGUUGCAGAAAUUCUUGAGAUCAAAUUGUCCAUCCCUAAGUAACAUUUCUAUCUCAAGUUCUAUGACACCAUGCCAGCGGCCUAUGGGGAAUUAGUGUCAAUAGGGGGUUAAUGCUGGUGAUGCGGCGAAUUACAACAUGGCGGUCGGGCUCCGAUGGGCCUACAUACGUAUGAUCGGUGAUCUUUAAUUAUAAAUUUUGAAAUAAUUUGACACAGAGCCUAUAUGGGGACAUACUGGAUUGUUUCAUGGUUCGUCACCAGCCAACUUUUGACCACCCGGUGCAGAAAGGAACAACGUCGUUGGACCCACCAAAGUGACCAUACAGACAUCAUCAUCCAGGGAUGCAGUCGAAAAUGUAUCAACUAUGAAGCUUAUCCAGCGAAUACUGCCCGUAGGGAACAAUUCCGAUCAGAAGAACAACCGAACAAGAUUGUUCUAAUGGUGGUCAUGAGUUGGUUAUAUAAGUGGAGAGCAAUACUAGGAGUAAAAGCCAAGCAUAAAUGUGUGGAAUCCAGAGGUGACAGAUCGAUUUAAGUUUAGUCUGUCACAAAUGUGGGUCAAUUCUGGUUCUUUCGGUGACCAUCUCAAUCUCAUUGAAGCUGGUUGGUAGGUAUAUUUCUUCAACACAUACAUACAUGUCCCUUGAUACGAUUGAAGAAGAAGACCAAAGUACUAUUAUUCACAUAAUUUCUUUGUAGUUUGUUACUACUUAAUUCAGGAAACUUACAAUGGUACUCUGUUUUAUAUAUUUGCGGGGAUUGAUUUAGGCUGUAUAAAUUAUUAAUGGCAAAAUUACGAUUAACGAGCCGACACCACGCGGUGGACCGCUUUGGUGUAUAUGUCAUGUAUACAUUAAUGUCAUCACUCUACCGCGUACAUGUAACGAAGCUGGAAACGCUAGGUUGUCGCCGCAACGCGCGACACGGGUAAAAAACUAGUUU
rnacentral:lncRNA from 1 species